rnacentral:sRNA from 1 species
CCUCUUCAAUCUGCUGCGGGCAGAUGAAGUGGAUGUGCGUGUCGAUACCGCCUGCGGUAAGGAUCAUGCCUUCACCGGCGAUGACUUCAGUACUGGCGCCGAUGGCGAUGGUCACAUCUGGCUGGAUAUCUGGAUUGCCUGCUUUGCCGAUGGCGGCGAUACGGCCGUCCUUCAAGCCUACGUCCGCUUUGACGAUGCCCCAGUGAUCAAUGAUCAGGGCAUUGGUGAUCAGGGUGUCGACUACUUCGGCGGCCAGCAGUUGGCUCUGUCCCAUGCCAUCACGG